CCCUUAGAUGUUCUGGGCUGCACACGUGCUACACUGGCAGGUUCAGCGAGCUUCAUGCCCUGAUCUGAAAGGAAUGGGAAAUCUUUUCAAAACCUGCCGUGCUUGGGAUAGAUGUUUGCAAUUAUUCAUCUUCAACGAGGAUUGCCUUGUAAGCGCACGUCAUCAGCGUGCAUUGAAUACGACCCUGUAUUCUGUACACACCGCCCGUCGCUCCUACCGAUUGAAGUUUUCGGUGAGUUGACAGGAGGAUUUUUUUGAAACUGGUUCGCCAGUGGAUUUUAGAUACAAAUGCCAACGAAUCGAGGGCUUUAGAGGAAGGAGAAGUCGUAACA
rnacentral:rRNA from 1 species